rnacentral:lncRNA from 1 species
CUGUAAUUCUACUACGAUUACAAACUCAAGUAAACCAAAACAAAAAUACUACUUAGCUCUUCAACUUUCCCAGCAAAUAAACAUCUCAAACACAAUAACGAGAAAUUAUAACAAAUAAAUUACAACUACCCUUAAAAACAAACUCAAAUAUAAGUAAACAGAAACAAAAAUUAUAUUUAGCUCUUCAACUUUUCCAGCAAACAAACAUCUCAAACAUAAAAAUCACAAACUACAACAAACAAAUUACGACUACCUUUACAAACUGAUAAAGAAAAAAGUAAACCCCAAGUAUCUGCCCAUAAGUAAAUACGUCGGUUCUAACAUUUGCAUGAGUUGAAAUGACCAUAAAUUGAAAAAGUUUAGCACUAUUUCUCUGUGUACAUUAACAUGACAAUGCUUGAGGCUGUUUUCAAUAUUGUGCAGAGGACAACAAAAUUGUUCUCUUUUUAUAUAUGUUCUUCUUGAUUUUGUCGCUUUUUUUUUUUUUUUUUUCUAAUUUGAAGUUUUGAUAUCCGUUGUUCCAUGCCAAGCGGUGCAUAUAUUACAUUUAAUUGCUAUUGGUUCUCUUCUGAUUUGAAUUACAAGGUAAAAGAGUCUUGACCGUAUGUAAAUUGAUAUACUCACUUUUGUUUAUUUGUUGUAGAUUUCAAACGUCAAAAAUAAGGUAAAUAAACACGUAGUCAAUAUUAUCUUUUGUCUUUAAUUAGUUAAAAUUUUAUUUCUUUGUUAUUAUGAAGAUCUUUAAGCAAAAAGUUAAAUAGAGUCCAACUAUAUAUUAUUUCCGUUUUGUUCUCUUUUGUGGGUAACACUUCUGGAGAAAUGUUGGGUUCUGAGAUAGUCGCGUAACAAAAGGUUUAUUUUCGGUUGCUUGCGACAUAUAUUUUAUUUUCUAUUAUAUUUAUAUUUUUUUCUAUAUAGCAUUAUUUACUUAGUAAUAUUAUUUUUCUUUACUUUAAUAUAGGACUACAGAAGGUUAUUACCAAUCUUGAGGAGCACUUUUAAGGUAAAUAAUCGUGUGUUUUUAUGUUUUUAAGUAGCUAAAAUUUUCAUACUUUGUUAGCGUGUAACUCUUUGGGUAAAAAGUUUAAGAUGGUCCAGGCGCGUCACUUGUGUUUUGUUUUCUUUUUUUGAUACCACUCUUUUAAACGUGGAUUAUGAGGUAUUCAGAGAGUAAGAGGUUUGUCUUCCUUCUUUUAUCAUAUUUUUCUGUUUUAUUUUAUUUUUUUGUUAGCUUAAUUUUUUAAAAACUUUUUUUAAUGGAGUUGGAGAGAGUUGCAAUGCUAACUGUUUAUGCAUCAUCUAUCACAUUAAAUUUUAAAAAGUUUCCAGACGAAGCUCAACAAGGAGAUCUACUGCAUGGUCAUUUUAGUGGAAAAGGUCUGUGGUUCGAUUUAAUAGCAAAUACUGGUGAUGGCGGGAACUCGUCUUCAUCGGUUGCAGUAGCAUAAUGUCAGCAGUCUCUUUUGAUUCUUCAGUGUUUCCAAUGAGAUUGCAUUUACUGAAAUAGUACUCAGGAUACUGGAGCUGGUCUAUACAGUGGUUAGGUACUAAGAGCUGUUGUGUUUUAUGAGGCAUCUUUUUCUUCUUGUCUUUCACAUUAUAUUUCUUGAGUUUUGGUAUGCUUGUCUUGUUUCUCGCGUCGCUGGCAAGAGGACGGAGGUCUUGACAAUUCUUCAAAAUUGUGCUGUAAGUGAUGAAAAUUCAAAUUUUAUUUUAAUGAUUUUGCAUAUUUACUGAUUGUAGCAAACCUACGAAUACUUGCUCUCUUGCUUACGCUAGCAGGUACUCUGUAUAGCUUGUUGCGUGUUUUACAGUCUGUGAGUGACAAAAAGAGGGAGAGUACAUAUGAAGAAGAGAAAUAGAGCGGCAGAGGAAGAGAGUGCGUAUGAAAUUUUACCUCAUUAUUUAUUAUCUGUGUUGUAUACUUCUCAUUUAUUCUUUCAAUUGUUGCAAUAUUUGCAUCUUCAGUAUGAUGAAAUGUUCCCUUCACUAUUUAGUUAUCAUCCUGAUAUAUUUCCUCCACACCUGUCCACAGACAGGAAGCUCAGAACUUGCUCAAUUCCAGUUUAUGGCUUCUUAAUACACUUAGUCUCUCUCUCUCUCUCUCUCUCUCUCUCUCUCUCUCUCUCUUUAAUCAUUCUUAAACUUAAUCUUCAAUCCUAGAAUACGAUCGAAAGAUUUCUUUAGUUGCUUGAAAGUAACUCGUUUACCAUUUGUAAAAUAAUAUGCACUCAUUACAACUUUGACUUUAGCUCAUAGAUAGUGAUAGAUCAAUAUUAUUUUUAAGAAAUGCAACGUAAUUGGUGUUUUUGGGUAACUUGAAUCAGUUAAUAAUUUUCUCAAGAUAAUUUACUUUUUUCUGUAUGGUCUGCUGAUUUUCCCUUUGGAUUAUGGCUAGUAGACAGAAUGACUUGUGAUUGUUAGCAAAUAAAUAAUAUCUUCUUUAAAGAUAUAUUUAAAAUUAGAUAGUUAGAAUAACUAUUUUCAAAUAAGAUUAGGAAUCGAAUGUUGAUUAAUUUUUAUGUAUUAAAGCUGAUAGUUAUUGAAUAUUUAGUGAUGAGCUAGUGAUACAUUCAAAACUAGAUAGUUAGGAUUUGCUUUUUUUAAAUAAGACUAGGAAUUGAUGUUGAUUGACUUUUAUGUACUAAAGUUGAUAGAUACAGAGUACUAGUGACAUGUAAGAAAGUUUUUGUUUUAUUUUAGCUCUGACACAAUGGUCGGUUAGUAUUGUUCUAAGAUAUUCGAUGUAAUUGAUGUUUUAAGAUGACUUCAAUCAUUUUGUAGGUUUUUAGAGGUAGAUGACUUUCUUUUGUAUGGUUUAAUAUUUUUUUUUGUGUUUUGGUAAUAGCCCGUUGUUAGAAAGAUGGUGGUUGUUGGUUGUUAUGUGGUAUUAUCCACAGUGAUUUAUUUAAACUUAGAUGGUUAGGAUUGUUGAGUAAUGUUAGGAACUGGACACUGAUUGAUUUUUUAUGUAUUGAAACUAAUAAGAAUAGAGUAGUUAGUAGUAAGUUUGUGGAGGUAAGUUCUUGUUUGAUUUUAACUACAAGAUAGUGGUAAAUUAUCGUUUCAAGGUAAGUUAGAGGAGAAAAAAAGAUUGUAUAUGUAUGUGACUUUUUUUUGGAUCUAAUUCUAAAAGAUAAUACAUAGUUUGAAUACAAUUACAGUUAAAAGUAAUUUGUAAUUGAAAAAAUUUUUGGCAAACAAAAGUAUCAAGUAAAGAUAACUUAUAAGAUGACAUCACUAGGACAUGAAGAAGAGUUUGGAGCAUCAAAGUUAGGUAGCAAGUUAAUGUACCUCGCAAUAAAUAUACUCAUUUGCUACAUUGAGUGUGUGUAUUGGAUCUUAAUAGUUUACGUAAUGUGGCCUCCGAACAUAUUGCAAAAAACUAUACUUGUAAUAAAAAAAUAAUUUUUUCUAACACUCGAACUAAAUCUACUGCAAGAUUAUAUCUAUGAAUUUUUCAACUACAUAAUUUAAUAAAAAAAAUGCGAAAUAUAGAUUUUGAGCCAAGUUUUCUUACUUCAUUAAAAAAACUAUUAUGGUGUAAGCGACAAAAAAAUUAUGUGACAAAGAAAUUCUAACUUAAAGAUUUAUCACAUGUUAACUUUACUUUAGAUUUAGANNNNNNNNNNNNNNNNNNNNNNNNNNNNNNNNNNNNNNNNNNNNNNNNNNNNNNNNNNNNNNNNNNNNNNNNNNNNNNNNNNNNNNNNNNNNNNNNNNNNNNNNNNNNNNNNNNNNNNNNNNNNNNNNNNNNNNNNNNNNNNNNNNNNNNNNNNNNNNNNNNNNNNNNNNNNNNNNNNNNNNNNNNNNNNNNNNNNNNNNNNNNNNNNNNNNNNNNNNNNNNNNNNNNNNNNNNUCACAUUUUUUUAGAAUUAAUUAAUAAGUGUUUAUCACACAUUCUUAUUUAUGAUAUUUUACUUUUUUAAAAAAAAAAUUUAAUUUAUUAUCUCUUUCUUAAUAAUUACAGUUUUCUAUCAUAAAAAUAUUUUAAUUUUUUAUAAAAUAUAACAAAAAUUUAAAACAACACACUAAGCUUGGGCUCUGUGUAGUUUAACUUUUUUAACGCAGUCGUUGCUUUUUUCUUUUUCUUUUCUUUUUUCUUUAUUUUCCCUUUAAAAGCAAACGGACCGUGCGAUUAGAUUAAAACCCCACAAAAGUUUUCCAAUUCUCCUCUUCAGACCACCUUCUGCCUCUCUUUUACUUCCAAAAAGUUUUCAACGUUCUUUGUUUCCUGAUCUCACCUUGCCCAGAGAGAAGGAGAGAGAUACAAGCACAAAAGAGAGAGAGAAAAAGGGGAAAAUGACAGAAACGACCAGACAUGGAUCUGAAACCCUCCAUUCUCUUCAAUGUCUAGAGGGAAAUAAAAGAAUAUCAGAAAGAGGUAAGGAAAAAGAUGAUAGAAAACAAAUUAGAAUGGUCAUCUUUCUACCAUUCCAUCUCUUUUUCAGUUUCUUGAGAGCAGAGAAUCAAAUAGAGAAAGAAAAGAAGAACAAAGAAAGAAGGAAAAAAGAAGAUCGAAAAGAAGAUAGAUGGGUUUCUCGUAAAGACCCAACACUACUUAGUCAUUCUGUUAAAUUUCAAUCUCUCUUGUUCGCAAGCCUUUCCCAGAGAGAAGGUGAGAAAUACAAACAUAACAGAGAGAGAAAAAGGGGAAAAAGACAGAAACGAGCAGACAUGGAUCUGAAACUCUCCAUUCUCUUCAAGGGAGAUCGAAAAGAAGAUCGAUGGGUUUCUCUUCAAGACCCAACACUACUUAGUCAUUCUGUUAAAUUUCAAUCUCUCUCGUUCACAAGCCUUGCCCAGAGAGAAGGUGAGAAGUACGGACAUAGCAGAGAGAGAAAAAGGGGAAAAAGACAGGAACGAGCAGACAUGGAUCUGAAACUCUCCAUUCUCUUCAAUGUGGAGAGGGAAAGAAAAGAAUAUCAGAAAGAGGUAAGGAAGAAGAUGAUAGAAAACAAAUUAAACUGUCCUCUUUCUACCAUUCUAUUUCUUUUUCAGUUUAUUGGGAGUAAAGAGCCAAAUAGAGAAAGAAAAGAAGAGCAAAGAAAGAGGGAAGAAGAAGAUCGAAAGAAGAGAUGUGUCUUUCUCUUCAAAGACCCAACGGUGGCCGGAGGUAUUUUUACUUAUCUCUUAAUAUUGGUAGGUGAUCAUUCAUGGAGUUUAUUUUUAUUUGGUUCUCCUUUCAUGAAGUUGGCAUAAGUGAUUUAGUCUCUCUUAAUCUGGGUUUACAUAAAUCUUUUUUUUUUAAAAAUUUCUUUUUAUAGUUUCUGUCUUCUUAUUUAUUUAUUCUUCUUAUUUAAUGUUUUUAGUUUUCAUAAAUUUGUUUUGUUAUGUGUAGUAUCUGUUCUUAACUAACUAACUAAUUGUUUCUUAGCAUCAGUUAUUUUCAACUAUAUCUGUAAUGAGGAAUAAUGAAUUGGUUCUCUGUCUCUCUCUGUGUUCUCUUCUCUCUUUUGUUCUCUCUGUCUGUUUCUCACUCUCUCUGCACUUCUCUCUUUGUUUGCUACAUUCCAAACCCUAAAAGCCCUCUUCCUAAAUUUCACACAUAACAUAUUUCUAAAUUAAUUCGAGUUCUUUCUUGUUAUAAACAUUGCAGCAGGUUUCUUAACUGGGGAGAUGUUGUUUUUCUUAUUCCUUUUUACCAUGAUUUAUAGACUUGAAAUUUACUCAAAAGAUAGCAGCAGUUUCUUGUUUUUUCAUUUAAAUAUUCCAAUUUAGCUUUAAUAAUUUUACAGACAAACAAACUAUCUUCUGGAAUUUGAUUUAGUAGGUUCUGUUUUUUAUGGAGUUUGCAAAGUUGAUAUUUUGGUCUCUGUUUCUAAGUACAUUUGACACGUUCCUUUGAGACCCAGGUAGGUUGGGAAUAGAAUAUUAAUGCUGUGGAUAUUCCAUAGUUAUAUGCUAAUGUAUGAAUCAAAUAUGAACAUAUUACCCUUUUCCGAUUGAGGGAACUUUCGAAAAGAAGAAUUGUUUGAUUGAUUACCCUCCCAAAGUAUUCAGAGUAUUCGGGUUUUCUUGAAAACUAACAGCGUAAAAAUGUUACAGCAAUAAUAAAUGUAUUAAAAAUAAAAGCAAGAAUAACGAUUGGAUUUGGAGCUCUAUUGCAUAGAUGGUAAUCUAUAGUCUUUUUUAAUUUUCUAACUUAUUAUUUCUUUCACAAUCUAAAACUUCUUAAAAAACUAUUUUAUCUUGUGAACUUUCCUUUAAAUAUUUUCAUAAUUGGGAAUAUUGUCUAAAAUGUCGCAUAUUUUUCAUUUAUGCUUUCAAUUGUUGCAAUAUUUUCUUUUUCAGUAUGAUGAGAUGUUCCCUUCACUAUUCAUUGAUCAUCCUGAUAUAUUUUCUAUUAUAUAAAUAUAUGUCAAGGUUUAUUUUGCUUUGUUAUGAUAUGAAUUUUAUUUUCUAUUAUAUAUAUAUUUUUUCUAUUUAGAAUUAUUUACUUAACAAUAUUCUUUAUAUUUACUUUAAUAUUCUUUAUGUUUACUUUAAUAUAGGACUACCAAAGUUAUUAUCAAUCUUAGGGAAUACUUUUAAGAUAAAUAAGCAUGUAUUUUUAUUUUUUUGGGUGGUUAAAAUUUUUAUAUUUUGUUAGUAUAUAAUUCUUUAGGCAAAAAGUUUAAAAUAGUUUCACUUGUAUUUUAUUUUCUUUUAUUAGUAGCACUCUUUUAUACGUGGAUUAUGAGGUAUCCGUGGAAUAAGAGAUAUGUUUUCAUUUUUUUAUCAUAUUUUUCAAUUUAGUUUUGCUUGUCUUAAACCUAAUUUAUUUUUCAAAAUUUUCUGAUGGAGUUGGAGAGAGUUACAAUGUUAUCUAUUUCUGCAUCAUCUAUCACAUUAAGUUUUAAAAAGUUUUUUAUUUGGAGAACAAGGAUCACUUUAGUGGAAAAGAAGAUUUGGAGUUCGAUUUGAUGGAAGAUACUGGUGAUAGCAGGAACUUAUCUUCUUCGGUUGCAGGAGUACUUGGUCAGUGAUUUUUUUUGUUUCUUUAAUAUUUCUAAUAAGGUUGCAUUUACUAAAUUGGUAAUCAGGAUAGUACUUGUCUAUUAUGCAGUGGUUUGGUACUCUGGGCUGCUUUGUUGCAUGAGGUAUCUCUUUCCUCUUGUCUUUUACAUUAUAUUUACUGCGUUUUGGUAUGUUUGUCUUGUUUCUCGCGUCGCUGACAAAAGGAAGAAAGUCCUUAUCAUUCUUCAAAAUUGUGCUGUAAGUGAUGAAAAUUCAAUUUUUAUUUUAAUAAUUUUGCAUAAUUACUUAUAGCAAACCUGCGAAUACUGGCUCUCUUGCUUACGCUGGCAGGUUCUCGGUAUAGCCUGUGGUGUGCUUUACGGUCUGUGAGCGAAAGAGGGAGAGUGAGUACGACGAAGAAGAGAACCAGAGCGACAGAGGAAGCGAGUUCGUAUGAAAUUUUACCUCAUGAUUUUAUUAUCUAAUUAAUCAAUUAUUUUUAUUUUUUUACUAACUAAUCAAACAAUAAUUUUUAAAUUAUGCUACCAUAACUUAGUUGAAGGAUGUAUUUGAACACUAAAAACCUACAUGAUUCUAGAUCGAUAUGAACAAUGUAAAGCAAAUAAAUUAUAAUUAAAAACCAAAAUUGGAAUAAAAAUACAAACAAACUCAAAUACAGUUACAAAUUCAAGUACACUGAAAAAAAAUCCAAUUGAUUUUUUUACAAUUCCAAACAAAUGAAACAAAUAACUAACUCGAAUGAAAUUACAACAAACUAAAACAACAAAUUUCAACAACAAGUAGGUGCUAAAAGUCUAAUAUAUUUGCAACAAACUCAAAUAUAAUAACAUACUCAAGUAAACCAAAACAAAAAUUAUAUUUAGCUCUUCAACUUUUCCAGCAAAUGAACAUCUCAAACACAAUAACGACAAACUACAACAAACAAAUUAUAACUACUCUUACAAACUAACUCAAAUACAAUUACCAAGUCAAGUAAAUCAAAACAAAAAUUAUAUUUAGCUCUUCAAUUUGUCCAGCAAAAAACUUCUCAAAAAUAAUGACCAACUGCAACAAACAAAUUACAACUACCUUUAUAAACAAACAAAUUACAACUACCCUUAUAAACUA